AUUGAACGCUGGCGGCAGGCUUAACACAUGCAAGUCGAGCGAGCGGCGGACGGGUGAGUAAUGUCUGGGAAACUGCCUGAUGGAGGGGGAUAACUACUGGAAACGGUAGCUAAUACCGCAUACCAUCAGAUGUGCCCAGAUGGGAUUAGCUAGUAGGUGGGGUAAUGGCUCAACUAGGCGACGAUGCAUAGCUGGUCUGAGAGUAUGACGCGCAACACUGGAGCGAGGACACGGUGCAGCACCGGAACGGAGGCACCGGUGGGAAACAUUGGGGAAGGAGCACAAGCCUAAAGCAGCCAUGCCGCGUAGGUGAGGAAGGCCUUCGGGUUGUAGAGCACGUUCAGCGAGGGGGCGGUACUUGCAGAAGAAGCACCGGCUAACUCCGUGCCAGCAGCCGCGGUAAUUC
rnacentral:rRNA from 1 species